rnacentral:rRNA from 1 species
GACAGAGGUCCCAAGCGUUAGGCGGAAUCACUGGGCUUAAAGCGUGUGUAGGCGGAUGCCUAAGUACCUUGUGAAAUCCCACGGCUCACCCGUGGAACUGCUUGGUAUACUGGGUGUCUUGAGCCACUUAGGGGCUACCGGAACAAAUGGUGGAGCGGUGAAAUGCGUAGAUAUCAUUUGGAACGCCAACGGUGAAAACAGGUAGCUGGGAGUGUGCUGACGCUGAGACACGAAAGCCAGGGGAGCAAACAGG